AGUGAACGCUGGCGGUAGGCCUAACACAUGCAAGUCGAACGGCAGCACAGUAAGAGCUUGCUCUUACGGGUGGCGAGUGGCGGACGGGUGAGGAAUACAUCGGCAUCUACUUUUUCGUGGGGGAUAACGUAAGGAAACUGACGCUAAUACCGCAUACGACCUACGGGUGAAAGCAGUGGAUCUUCGGACCUUGCGCGAUUGAAUGAGCCGAUGUCGGAUUAGCUAGUUGGCGGGGUAAAGGCCCACCAAGGCGACGAUCCGUAGCUGGUCUGAGAGGAUGAUCAGCCACACUGGAACUGAGACACGGUCCAGACUCCUACGGGAGGCAGCAGUGGGGAAUAUUGGACAAUGGGCGAAAGCCUGAUCCAGCCAUACCGCGUGGGUGAAGAAGGCCUUCGGGUUGUAAAGCUCUUUUGUUGGGAAAGAAAAGCAGCAGGUUAAUACCCCGCUGUUCUGACGGUACCCAAAGAAUAAGCACCGGCUAACUUCGUG
rnacentral:rRNA from 1 species